rnacentral:rRNA from 1 species
CCUACGUGAGGCUGCAGUGAGGAAUAUUGGUCAAUGGGCGCGAGCCUGAACCAGCCAAGCAGCGUGAAGGAUGAAUGCCCUACGGGUUGUAAACUUCUUUUGUAAGGGAAUAAAGUGAGGCACGUGUGCCUUUUUGUAUGUACUUUAUGAAUAAGGAUCGGCUAACUCCGUGCCAGCAGCCGCGGUAAUACGGAGGAUCCGAGCGUUAUCCGGAUUUAUUGGGUUUAAAGGGAGCGUAGAUGGGUUGUUAAGUCAGUUGUGAAAGUCUGCGGCUCAACCGUAAAAGUGCAAUUGAUACUGGCAGCCUUGAGUACAGUUGAGGUAGGCGGAAUGCGUGGUGUAGCGGUGAAAUGCUUAGAUAUCACGAAGAACUCCGAUUGCGAAGGCAGCUUGCUAGACUGCCACUGACGUUGAGGCUCGAAAGUGUGGGUAUCAAACAGGAUUAGAUACCCGGGUAGUC